UGUGUGUGUGUGUGUGUGUGUGUGUGUGUGUGUGUGUGUGUGUGUGUGUGUGUUUUACACACACACACACACACACACACACACACACACAGUCAAAACAAAA